UGCGUAGGUAUUGCGCAAUGCUACAGUACUCUUCCCCAAAAGCGCAUCUUUAUUGCUGCACGGAUCGGAUGAGUUCCUGCUUUUGCGGAAGCGAAAUUGCUAGCGCUAGAGAGCAAAUAAGCUUGCAAGGGUGGAAGAAAAGACACCAUAAAAUUAAGUGAAAAAAAUAGGAAAAAUACAUCCAUCUACCGAAAGCCCGUCGAGGAGAUGGGGGAUAAGGCCGGCACCAGAGUCUUUAAGAAGUCAAGCCCCAACUGCAAGGUCACAGUAUACCUGGGAAAGAGAGACUUUGUGGAUCACCUUGACCAGGUGGACCCAGUCGAUGGUGUGAUCCUAGUGGACCCUGAGUAUCUGAAAGACAGGAAAGUGUUUGUGACCCUGACGUGUGCGUUCCGCUACGGCCGUGAGGACCUGGACGUGCUGGGCCUGUCUUUCCGGAAAGAUCUGUACAUCUCCACCUUCCAGGCCUUUCCCCCCAUCGCAGAGGAACGCAAAGCCAACAGCCGCCUGCAGGAGAGAUUACUGAAGAAACUGGGCCAGCAGGCACACCCCUUCUACUUCACUAUUCCCCAGAACCUGCCGUGCUCAGUCACCUUACAGCCAGGACCAGAGGACACAGGGAAGGCAUGUGGGGUUGACUUUGAGAUCAGAGCGUUCUGUGCCAAAUCGAUAGAGGAGAAGAUUCACAAACGGAACUCUGUGCGGCUGGUGAUCCGUAAGGUGCAGUAUGCCCCAGAGAAGCCUGGGCCUCAGCCCAUGGUGGAGACCACACGGAGCUUCCUCAUGUCGGACCGCUCACUACACCUGGAGGCCUCUCUGGAUAAAGAGCUCUACUACCAUGGAGAACCCAUCAGCGUGAACGUUCAUGUCACCAACAACUCCACCAAGACUGUCAAAAGACUAAAAAUCUCAGUGCGACAGUAUGCUGAUAUCUGUCUGUUCAGUACGGCUCAGUACAAGUGUCCAGUGGCUCAGGUGGAGGCAGAUGACCAGGUGUCGUCUAGCUCUACGUUCUGUAAGGUGUACACCCUCACACCCACGCUAGACAAAAACCGGGAGAAGAGAGGCCUUGCCCUGGACGGAAAGCUCAAACACGAGGACACCAACCUGGCCUCCAGCACCAUUGUUAAGGAUGUGACUAACAAGGAGGUUCUUGGAAUCCUGGUGUCCUACAGGGUCAAAGUCAAACUGGUAAUAUCUCGUGGAGGGACAAUGACCCAACACACCUCCAGGCUGUGGAAGGUCUAUUUGACCAAGGAGAGUGAUGGAGUGCUUCAUCAGAUGACCUGGUCUUCACAAUCACCCGAACUCAACCCAAUUGAGAUGGUUUGGGAUGAGUCGGACCGGAGAAAGAAGGAAAAGCAGCCAACAAUUGCUCAGUAUAUGUGGGUUCUCCUUCAAGACUGUUGGAAAAGCAUUCCAGAGAUGUGUCGGUGGAGCUGCCCUUCGUCUUAAUGCACCCUAAACCCACAGAACUGCCCAUAUCCCGCCCACAGUCAGCUGUGCCGGAUUCGGACCCUCCCAUCGACACCAACCUGAUAGAAUUUGAAACAAAUAGUUUCUCCCAAGACGACGACUUUGUGUUCGAGGACUUUGCUCGCCUGCGGCUCAAGGGAAUGGCUGACGACAAGGACGACGACUGCUAGAGCUCACGUGUGUGUGUGUGUGUGUGUGUGUGUGUGUGUGUGUGUAUAUAUAUAUGUACACACACACAGUGGAAUGAAGGCAUGUGGACGGAGAGAUGUGGUGGCCUCGUGGUCUGCUGAAAAGAUCCUGAUGUCACUCAGUGUUCAUUUGGGGGGUGGCAAACACAGCACCAUGUAAAUGGUGACUUAAUGUUGUGCCAUGGCGAUGCUGACUGAUUGAAAUGUCAUGGCUGUUCACACCGAGGAAGAAAUAGUGCCAUUAAAAAGGAAGCAGGCUUUAUAUCAUUAUUUAUCCACCAAUAAUGAUUUAAAUAAGUAUUUGUACAAAUAUUGAUCACCUUGGUCAAGUAUUGAUAUAAAACAAAGUUGAGUACCUGCUUAAGAGGGGAGAGAAGGGAAAACAGACUGAUACCUUUCAUCUGCCCCAUCUUUUCAUUCCUCUGAAAUUCUACCAUGUCAUCCAUUCUGUAAAAAAACAUGUUUUAGAGGAAGUUUGAUUCACCCUCUUCUGCAAUAUGAGGACAGACUAUACACUACCACUUAAGUAAAUGUGCACAAUCUGGACCCUCACUGUAAAGCCUAGGGCACGCGUAUUCAACUCUUACCCUACGAGGUCUGUAGCCUGCUGGUUUUCUGAUCUACCUGAUAAUUAAUUGCACCUGCCUGGUGUACCAGAUCUAAAUCAGUCCCUGAUUAAAAGGGAACAAUGAAAACAAGCAGUGGCACUGGCUUCGGGGGCCAUAGUUGAGUUUGAAGGGCCUAGGGAUACUCCUUAUAGUCCGCCUCAAUGCAGCAGCAUGACGUUCACUUCCCCAUUUCGCUCAGACACUUGCACAUGGUCUAAGAGCAUGAGUAUUUUAGAAUAAUUUCUCGAUCAGAUUUCACUCCUGUGCUAAAUUCCAAAUCAACCCCUAUCAUCUCCUCCAUUGGCACUGAAAGGACUGGAUAGGUGUAUGUAAUGUAGGAAAAUUCAAACUAACCAAUCACCAUAAUAGCCAUACCUAGCCGAUCCGAGAAGUGCCUAGUGACAGGGCUAGCUAUGGGUCAGUUUGAGAUUCAGCAUAUUUUUCAGCAGUGCUAUGAACUGUUGUUUUGCUUCUAUGGGGUACCUGUUCACAGCUCUGCUAUGUGUUGCCACUGAGCUGAGUGCCAUGUCUACAGGAAGGAUACUGAUAUGAUUUUGGUGGAUCAUGACAGGAAACAAUGAAUAGUAUUACUACUGUGUCAUUACCAUGAUUAUUCUCAAUCAUUUAAGGAAAAAAUUGUUUGCCAUUUGUUUUUCAGAAUUUUAAUUUUUUUAUUAAAGGCAAAAUGAAUUAACCUAAA